ensembl:snRNA U6 U6 spliceosomal RNA
GUGCUACCUUUGGCAGCAUAUAUACUAACAUUGGAAGGAUGCAGAGAUUAUCAUGGCCCCUAUAUAAUAAUGAUGCAUAAAACUUUUAUGUGAAAGUGAUACAA